GAGUUUGAUCCUGGCUCAGAACGAACGCUGGCGGCAUGCCUAACACAUGCAAGUCGAACGAACUCUUCGGAGUUAGUGGCGCACGGGUGCGUAACGCGUGGGAAUCUGCCCUUGGGUACGGAAUAACUCAGAGAAAUUUGUGCUAAUACCGUAUAAUGACCUCGGUCCAAAGAUUUAUCGCCCAAGGAUGAGCCCGCGUAAGAUUAGCUUAGUUGGUGGGUAAAGGCCUACCAAGGCUACGAUCUUUAGCUGGUCUGAGAGGAUGAUCAGCCACACUGGGACUGAGACACGGCCCAGACUCCUACGGGAGGCAGCAGUGGGGAAUAUUGGACAAUGGGCGAAAGCCUGAUCCAGCAAUGCCGCGUGAGUGAUGAAGGCCUUAGGGUUGUAAAGCUCUUUUACCCGGGAUGAUAAUGACAGUACCGGGAGAAUAAGCUCCGGCUAACUCCGUGCCAGCCGCCGCCGUAAG
rnacentral:rRNA from 1 species